rnacentral:rRNA from 1 species
AACUGAUUGAUGGUGCUUGCACCUGAUUGACGAUGGAUCACCAGUGAGUGGCGGACGGGUGAGUAACACGUAGGUAACCUGCCCCGGAGCGGGGAUAACAUUUGGAAACAGAUGCUAAUACCGCAUAACAACAAAAGCCACAUGGCUUUGUUUGAAAGAUGGCUUUGGCUAUCACUCUGGGAUGGACCUGCGGUGCAUUAGCUAGUUGGUAAGGUAACGGCUUACCAAGGCGAUGAUGCAUAGCCGAGUUGAGAGACUGAUCGGCCACAAUGGAACUGAGACACGGUCCAUACUCCUACGGGAGGCAGCAGUAGGGAAUCUUCCACAAUGGGCGCAAGCCUGAUGGAGCAACACCGCGUGAGUGAAGAAGGGUUUCGGCUCGUAAAGCUCUGUUGUUGGAGAAGAACGUGCGUGAGAGUAACUGUUCACGCAGUGACGGUAUCCAACCAGAAAGUCACGGCUAACUACGUG